rnacentral:rRNA from 1 species
AGGAGCUAAACUCCCAACCCCUGUGACAUACCAAUUGUUGCCUCGGCGGAUCAGCCCGCUCCCGGUAAAACGGGACGGCCCGCCAGAGGACCCCUAAACUCUGUUUCUAUAUGUAACUUCUGAGUAAAACCAUAAAUAAAUCAAAACUUUCAACAACGGAUCUCUUGGUUCUGGCAUCGAUGAAGAACGCAGCAAAAUGCGAUAAGUAAUGUGAAUUGCAGAAUUCAGUGAAUCAUCGAAUCUUUGAACGCACAUUGCGCCCGCCAGUAUUCUGGCGGGCAUGCCUGUUCGAGCGUCAUUUCAACCCUCAAGCCCCCGGGUUUGGUGUUGGGGAUCGGCGAGCCCUUGCGGCAAGCCGGCCCCGAAAUCUAGUGGCGGUCUCGCUGCAGCUUCCAUUGCGUAGUAGUAAAACCCUCGCAACUGGUACGCGGCGCGGCCAAGCCGUUAAACCCCCAACUUCUGAAUGUUGACCUCGGAUCAGGUAGGAAUACCCGCUGAACUUAAGCAUAUCAUAAGGCGGAGGAAAUCUUUA